CAAAAUCAAUAAUUCAAAUCAAUAACAAUAAUACUAAUUUGAAGUUAUAGAACAUAGCACCAAUGGGUAGUGGAAUAAAUAUAAGAUAAUUGGAAGAAAAUCACAUUAAAUCAUCCUGAUCUUAAUCAUAUCAAAAUCCCUAAACUUUCCAACUUUUCUUAUUUUUCUAACUAUUUCCCUUGCAAGAUAUCUUACAUUGAUUUUAUGAACUAUGCAACAUACAGAAGAACUGAAAAUGUGUAUUCUAUCCCCUGGAUCACUAUUUUGAUCUAAGAGGAGAAUUCUCCUCUCUGACCUGACAUGUGAUACUAACGUGAAGACCAAUUGAAGAUGAUCAGGAAUCAACCUAGAAUCUUAUGCAUCUUCAAUACCAAACUAGGAUAAAUACAUCAUGAUGAGCUAUUUGCAAAACCUUUUUCAACUGGAGGACUGUCUUCUCGAACUAUGUUCUCGACUGGAUUCUCCUCAGCCCACACGGCAGCAUCCAAGUAUCCUAGCGCAAAGAGCCUGUCAAGAAUGACAUCUGCGGCUGGCUCCAAUGCCCAAUUGAAAAGCUCUCUUGGGCUAGCUCUAUUUUCAGGAUUGCAGUCUGGACUAAUUCCAAUUCCUUCCAACCCCAAUCGACUGGCUGGGAAAGCACAAACACGAACUGUCUGAGCAGCAGAUGUUGGCGGCAUAAACAAUGUCAGCCCUCCAUCAAUGCAAAGUCUAUUUCGGAACACUGUGGCAGGUCUUGGUGCAAGAUAUCUGCAAUUUCAACAUAUCCAAACUAGAUCAUUCUCUUAACAUAUGUCGAAAUAAACUAAGAAGAAGUUUUCUAAGCUAGACGAUAUUUAAACUAUCACCCUGGAAUAAAGGAAGAAGUGAAAACUGCAUUUAUGAGAUCUUCCUUGGAGUCAAAUUGAUCCACUAGUAAGCCCCUGGGUCUCCACAAAAUCUGAGUUACAGCAACUGUGGCAGGAAAGAAUAGAUUAAGAGACUGCAUAAAAAUGAAUAAAUAAAAAAUAUCAGCAUCCAAGUACAUGUGCAUUGCAUUGGCAAGUGAGAUCCACAAUCAUGCCAAGCAUAACCAGCACAAGUACAUGUUAAAAGUCGAAAAAAUCCAAAAAAUUAACUAAGACCCAAUUUGCAAAAGAAUCAUCGACCCUAUCCCUAUUCACACAAGAAUCACACUACAAUAGUCUACAGAUCAAAGAGAUUCUCAAGACCAAAAAAUAAAAGAUAAAAAAUAAAACUAUUAAAAAGCAUUACAAACAGAAAGAACAAAGAUUAAUCACAGUAGGAAAAACAAAUAUUUAAGAAACAUCAAACAAAAUUACACGCUUAGAAUCACUAUCCAAAUAGUAAUAAAUCACUAGAAGUUGAGGACAUGUCAAGAACAGAUUAAUUUAAGUUCCCAUUAUCUUCACAUUCAUCUGACUCUUUCCAUCUUUGAACAUAUGCACUUCUGCCAUCAUCUCUAUCUCACUACAUAGAUCACGUAAUCAACAUCAUACACAUACGUAUACAUAUAUUUAUGUGUAUCAUAUCACACAAACACAUGUUCAGCCAUAAAAAAAUAAUGAAGAUCUCCAACUAGGAAGCACUCCGAACACAAUGCACAGGUUUUAUAAGAGUGGAGAAAAGAAAAUCAUCCUUACCACGGACCCUCCCAUUUGACCUAAUAUGAACAUCAUCUGGCAGAAACUUUUCAAGAACAUCCCGAAGAACAGCCCCAAGUCGAAAUGCAGUCCCUCUUAGCCGGCAGUCUUCAGCCAGUAAUUUGGUAGCUUGUAGAGCCUCUUGCAUACUAGCUCCAGAAGCAAUUACUGCACAGACUAUGGCACCGGCAGAGGAACCAGCCAAAGGUGUGGUUUCCUUAAUGUAGCCCUUCUCAAUUAGCAAUUGAGCAACGCCAAGAUGAUAAGGAAACAACAAUCCAGCGGCAGAAAAACUAAACCCAGGACUCGUAAUAACACGCCGUUCCUUCUCAGCCUCAAUAUCCUUAACUCUUUGCUCCCAAAUAACCUCCGGCUCUAUCUCGUCCUCCAUCACCGCCCCAAUCCUCUCCUCAUAUUCCACACUACCACUCCCAUUCGAUUUCUCAAACAACGAAAUCCCAGAAGAAGAAAAGCUCCCAUUUUUAUUCCCUUUACUACUUUUCAAAAGCCUCGACGCAAUACCCAAAAAAAGCUCACCAGUAGCCACGGCAAAAGAUUUUUUGCCCGGCGGCGAGGGUUGCGGCGGAGGUGGGUAAGUGAUUUUGUUGUUAUCAGAAGAAGAGGAGCAUCUAAUGGAGAGAUUGAGAAAUUGGGGGCGCAGGGGAAGCAGAGAAUAGCGGUGGGCGAGAUAUGGGUUGGGAUUAAGAGAAGAGAAAGGGGAUUGAGUGUGAGGGAGAAGGAGAGAGGAGAGGGAAGGAGCCAUGGAAAAGGAAGAAGAAGGAGAGGCCCUAUUAGGCUUCUUGGUGAAAAACAUUGUUAUUAAUACUGUGAGAAAUUAGAGAAAGAUUUUCAAUGUCAUUAUCAAAGUGGUUUUCUAGUUUUCUCUGUCUUCGUCUUUGGUUUUGGGUUUUGAAACAAAGAAAAUGUCUGAACUUAAAAAAUUUUUUUUUCUUUUUUUAAAAUAAUUCCAGAAGAUAAUGCAAGAAUCUGUGGAUGAACCACUACCAGACGAUGAAGAAAUAAAGCUCAAGCUUUUCUUCAAUAAUGGCAAACUGUAAGUUCAGUGUCUUCGUCAUAGCCAUUAUCUUUGUCUUCUUCUCUGCCAUUUUCAGAUAUUCACAAGCUAAAUCACUUCCACUAGCACUGGCACAAAUCAAGCAGCAAAAGCAAGACCAAGACAGCGAGCCGUUUGUGGGUUUUAACAUAGGCACAGACGUUUCCAACAUCUUGUCAGCAACAGACCUUGUUUCGUUUCUGCGAGUUCAAAAGAUCACCCAUGUCCGCUUAUAUGAUGCAGACCCUGAUAUCCUCAAAGCCUUGGCUAAAACCAAGAUCCGUGUCAUAAUUAGCGUCCCCAAUAAUCAGCUUAUUGCUAUUGGCUCCUCCAAUACCACCGCAGCCUCCUGGAUUGGUCGCAAUGUUGUUGCAUACUAUCCUGAAACUCUAAUCACUGCAAUUGCUGUAGGAGACGAGGUGUUGACAACUGUGCCCUCUUCAGCUCCUCUGCUUAUGCCUGCUAUAGAGUCACUCUAUAGUGCUUUAGUUGCUUCAAAUUUGCAUACCCAGAUCAAGAUUUCAACUCCACAUGCAGCUUCUAUAAUUCUUGAUCCAUUUCCACCAUCUCAGUCUUUCUUUAACCAGAGUUGGAGCUCAGUUAUGCUUCCUUUGCUUCAAUUUUUGUCAAAAACUGGGUCUCCGUUGAUGAUGAAUCUUUACCCUUACUAUGUUUUUAUGCAAAACAAAGGAGUGGUACCUCUUGAUAAUUCUCUGUUCAAGCCCUUGACACCAUCUAAAGAAAUGGUGGAUCCUAAUACUUUGUUGCAUUACACUAAUGUGCUUGAUGCGAUGAUUGAUGCUGCAUAUUUUUCUAUGAAGAAUCUGAAUAUUACUGAUGUUAUGGUUCUUGUCACUGAAACUGGAUGGCCUUCAAAGGGUGAUUCAAAAGAGCCUUACGCUACCAUUGACAAUGCAGACGCCUAUAAUUCUAAUUUGAUUAAGCAUGUUCUUGAUCGUAGUGGGACUCCUUUUCAUCCAGAAGUCACUUCCAGUGUGUAUAUGUAUGAAUUGUUCAAUGAGGACUUGAGGUCACCGCCAGUAUCAGAAGCAAAUUGGGGAUUGUUCUAUGGGAAUUCCACACCAGUCUAUUUGCUUCAUGUUUAUGGAAGUGGGACUUUUUUGGCUAAUGAUACAACAAACCAAACGUAUUGUAUUGCAAUGGAUGGUGUUGAUUCAAGGACACUGCAGGCAGCUUUGGAUUGGGCAUGUGGACCAGGAAGGAGUAAUUGCAGUGAAAUACAACCAGGGGAGGGUUGUUACCAGCCCAAUAAUGUGAAGAACCAUGCUUCUUAUGCAUUUGAUAGCUAUUACCAGAAGGAAGGGAAGGCUCCUGGGUCUUGUGAUUUCAAGGGUGUGGCCAUGAUCACCACUACUGACCCAAGUCAUGGCAGCUGUACAUUUCCUGGAAGUAAGAAAAUAAGCAAUAAAACAAGAACAGUGACAAACACAACAACUGUAACAAGCAGUGCAGCACAUAGUUUAAGGGUCAUCAGCUUCAAAAGCAGUAGAAUAAUUGCAAUCAAUAAGGGUUUAAGUACUUUCUUGGCUGUUAUUUUCUCUAUUUUGUUACACAUUCCUUUUGCAACCUGGUGUUGAGGUGCGAAAAUAAAACAAUUUUUUGAAUUAUAUUGUUGUUGUUAUUAUUAUUAUUGUUAUUGUUAUUAUUGUUAUUAUUGUUAUUUUUGGGUUAUAGGAUUCUGAGGUGGGAAAUGGCA
rnacentral:misc_RNA from 1 species